ensembl:snoRNA
AGGUCAUUUCGAAGGGAGCAUGUGGGGCUGUGAAACGCAGAGCUCCUAACACCAUGACCAGAUAUUGAUGUUCUCUAUAAGGCACCAUAGUCACUCAAUAGUGCUGUGUUUUCCUGAGGAGGUAUAAGA